rnacentral:rRNA from 1 species
CUACGGGGCGCUCCAGCAAAGAAUCUUCUGCAAUGCGCGAAAGCGUGACAGAGCGAACCAGAGUGCUUUUCAACUUGAAAGGCUUUUGCUGAAUGUAAAAAGUUCGGCGAAUAAGGACUGGGAGAGACUGGUGCCAGCCGCCGCGGUAAUACCUGCGGUCCAAGUCGCAGCCAUUAUUAUUAGGUCUAAAACAUCCGUAGCUUGCCUUUUAAGUUUCUUGUGAAAUCCUGUGUCUCAAGCACAGGGCGCGCAAGAAAUACUAAUGGGCUAGAGACCGGAAGGCGUAGAAAGUAUGUCUAAAGUAGCGGUAAAAUGCAUUGAUCUUGGGCAGACUCACAAUAGCGAAGGCGUUCUACGAGGACGGUUCUGACAGUGAGGGAUGAAAGCCAGGGGCGCAAAAUGGAUUAGAUACCCGCGUAGUC